GGUGAAAAUAGCUGUGUGGCACCACCCGAUCCCAUCCCGAACUCGGAAGUGAAACGCACAUGCGCCGAUGGUAGUGUGGCCUAAGCCAUGCAAGAGUAGGUCAUCGC
rnacentral:rRNA from 1 species